CUAAAAUGUAUAUGGCUGUUUCAGUUUAUCAGGAGUUGAAAUAGCUAACUAGUAUGUAUUGAAGCAUGGAAAACUGUAAGGGUUCAAAGUCAGUUUUUGUGUCCUCAUUUAUAGGUCAAAUUGCAUGCAAAUGUACUUGUUUUGCAGUUGCAACUACCACUUGUGUGUAGAUUCUCUGGAGAGAGCUUUGGUUUAAAAGGAAGAGAAAAUGCUACUCUACUGUUGACACUGGUGUAGCUAUUGGGGACAUUUUGCCUUCUGUGGAGGUCAGGAGUUGUUGCUGAUUCCCAGUGUUGGUGUAUGGGAUGCCUUCUAAAGCAGGCAGAGCACAUGACGCUUUUCAACACUCUUUUCGAUACUGAUUUGGCAUUCAGGGUCUAUCAAAGGAGAAAUCUUUCACAUGCAAUUAUGACAGAAAAUAAAGGUGAUGAAGUGUUGUAUACAAAGAAUGGAGAGAGAUCAAAGGACUGUAAUGAAAACUGAUUACAAUAAAAGAGCUGCUUCAACCCUGAGAACUCUACAGAACUGCUUGGGGCAUGACAACACACACACUUGCAUGCACAAAGAAGUUGCAGAUAAAAUCACAGGCACUAAUUCAUAGGAAUAAAUGAAGAAAACAAUACAUAGCUAUUUGCUUGGAUGUUUUUUAACAUUAAGGCACUAAAAUGACAUGAAGACAUGGGUCUAAUUUGGAAGAUUUUGAUUUCAUACUUCUGUAAAGGCUUCUUUAUUCAACUAUUGGACAUAAUGUGAAAGUUUUUUAAAUUUAUAACUUCUCUUCUGAUAAGAUUGCUUAUAGGAUAGAGGAAUGUUUUCAAUUCUUCUAUUGUUUUCUUGAAUAAUCUCCUCAGGGUCACAUACAGAAUAAGUCACUUAUCUAAGUUUAAAUAUUAGCAAGGAGACUGUUUAGUACUGUUAGUUGCAUAGCGAUGAAGAAAUUGAUCAAGUUUAACCCUCUAUCCUUUUGACUCCUGUUCUGAUUUGGACUAUUCAAAUGAAUUUUCAUUCACUUUGAAGUUUCUUUCCCAGAUUCCACAGUUGAGUACUGCAACCAUUUAUUGGGCAGUUUCAGUUGGCAAUUUUAUAUCUUCUCAAACUUAGGGCUGUUAUUUAUGUUAAGCACCUUUCACAUGGUUCAAAGUUAUGUGCAAUUGAGCUCUUAAUGUAUGUAUUUUUUAAUAAUUUGCAUAUAAAUUUGUAGUG
ensembl:lncRNA